rnacentral:rRNA from 1 species
GACGAACGCUGGCGGCGUGCCUAAUACAUGCAAGUUGAGCGCUGAAGGUUGGUACUUGUACCAACUGGAUGAGCAGCGAACGGGUGAGUAACGCGUGGGGAAUCUGCCUUUGAGCGGGGGACAACAUUUGGAAACGAAUGCUAAUACCGCAUAAAAACUUUAAACACAAGUUUUAAGUUUGAAAGAUGCAAUUGCAUCACUCAAAGAUGAUCCCGCGUUGUAUUAGCUAGUUGGUGAGGUAAAGGCUCACCAAGGCGAUGAUACAUAGCCGACCUGAGAGGGUGAGCGGCCACAUUGGGACUGAGACACGGCCCAAACUCCUACGGGAGGCAGCAGUAGGGAAUCUUCGGCAAUGGACGAAAGUCUGACAGAGCAACGCCGCGUGAGUGAAGAAGGUUUUCGGAUCGUAAAACUCUGUUGGUAGAGAAGAACGUUGGUGAGAGUGGAAAGCUCAUCAAGUGACGGUAACUACCCAGAAAGGGACGGCUAAAUACGUG